AGAGUUUGAUCAUGGCUCAGGAUGAACGCUAGCUACAGGCUUAACACAUGCAAGUCGAGGGGCAUCAGGAUGUAGCAAUACAUUGCUGGCGACCGGCGCACGGGUGAGUAACACGUAUCCAACCUGCCUUUUACUCGGGGAUAGGCUUUCGAAAGAAAGAUUAAUACCCGAUGGUAUAAUAUUUCCGCAUGGGAUUAUUAUUAAAGAAUUUCGGUAAAAGAUGGGGAUGCGUUCCAUUAGGCAGUUGGCGGGGUAACGGCCCACCAAACCUUCGAUGGAUAGGGGUUCUGAGAGGAAGGUCCCCCACAUUGGAACUGAGACACGGUCCAAACUCCUACGGGAGGCA
rnacentral:rRNA from 1 species